GGCGGGCAUGCCUGUCCGAGCGUCAUUU
rnacentral:rRNA from 3 species